AUUAGUUGUGCUGUCUGCGACGCUUUCUCGUGAUGGAGGAGCAUCGCGGGGGAAGUCCGGUGAGAAUCCGGCACUGUCGCGCAGCGGUGAGGUAGACGCCCCUCCAAGGUGGCGAUUUACUAAGUCCGAAUACCCGGUCGCAGCAAGUUUUUUCAC
rnacentral:ncRNA from 2 species